UCCUACGGGUGGCAGCAGUGGGGAAUAUUGGACAAUGGGCGAAAGCCUGAUCCAGCAAUACCGCGUGAAUGAUGAAGGCCUUAGGGUUGUAAAGUUCUUUUAGUUGGAAAGAUAAUGACGGUACCAACAGAAAAAGCCCCGGCUAACUCCGUGCCAGCAGCCGCGGUAAGACGGAGGGGGAUAGCGUUGUUCGGAAUUACUGGGCGUAAAGGGCGAGUAGGCGUAUUAGUAAGUUGGGAGUUAAAGCCCGGGGCUUAACCUCUGAACUGCUUUCAAAACCUCUAGUCUUGAGUGAAGUAGGUGAUGAUGGAAUUCCUAGUGUAGAGGUGAAAUUCUUAGAUAUUAGGAGGAACACCGGUGGCGAAGGCGGUCAUCUGGACUUCAACUGACGCUGAGGCGCGAAAGCGUGGGGAGCAAACAGGAUUAGAUACCCGAGUAGUC
rnacentral:rRNA from 1 species